UUAAUCACUUCCCAAAGGCUUUAGCUCCAAAUACCAUCACAUAGGGGAUUAGAUUUCAAUGCUGGAAUUUGAGGCGGGACAAAAGCAUUGUCUGUAGCAGAGAGAUGCCCAAUUUUAGAAGCUUUGCAGGGGCUAGGUGGGGGAGAUUACCUGCUAAACGGAGGGCAGGUAGAAUAUGGCUGAAAGGCAAAGGUGUCUAUAGCACCUGUGAAGCAAGAUCAAAAGAAUACGGGAAAGACACUGAUCUCUGAAAAAGUCAAACAAAGAGACCAUGGGUUCAACACUUGAGACUUCAAUAGCAGAUGCCAACAAGCCAUACCAAAGCCUGAAGAAGUCACUAAUGUGAAAGCCAAAGGACAAAGAGGAAGAUCUGAGGAGCUAUAAAAGAGACAUCAUACCAGACUCUACUCCAGAAUGGAAAUGUCCAAUGCCUAAUCAGAAGCCAGGGAGUAGGGUGAAUGCGAUAGAUAAGAGAUCAUCAUCCCAACCUGCAGCCCUCAUUACUGCUCGUUCUAUGGAGUAGUCAUUUUUUGUUUUUGUUGUUUCUUUACUUCUCUAAGAAACUUGCUUUUGCUUAAAAAAAAAUAAAAAUAAAGGAGAUAAGAGAACAUCCAAUAAAAGAAGGCAAAUGUUGUGUGCAUAGAGAUUACUAGGUUAAGGAAAGCAGGCCAACUAGCAUUAAACCAACCCAUACCUUUGUUCAACACUUAGAAUGAAAUCUAAAUUUAUUUCUCUGGCGUUGAAUAAGCCUAUGACAUCAACCUGAACUACUCUUCUGCUCACAGCAUUCCAGACACAUUGACUAUUUCAUGCAUCUUUGUCCUUAUUGCUAUACCUGGAAUUCUAUCCCCCACCUUCCCCACAUAAAGAACACCUUUCUAUUACUUCUUCUAUUAGUCAUUUUUAAACAAAACUCAAUAUUU
rnacentral:lncRNA from 1 species